rnacentral:rRNA from 1 species
GAUGAACGCUGGCGGCGUGCCUAAUACAUGCAAGUCGAGCGAACGGACGAGAAGCUUGCUUCUCUGAUGUUAGCGGCGGACGGGUGAGUAACACGUGGAUAACCUACCUAUAAGACUGGGAUAACUUCGGGAAACCGGAGCUAAUACCGGAUAAUAUUUUGAACCGCAUGGUUCAAAAGUAAAAGACGGUCUUGCUGUCACUUAUAGAUGGAUCCGCGCUGUAUUAGCUAGUUGGUAAGGUAACGGCUUACCAAGGCAACGAUGCAUAGCCGACCUGAGAGGGUGAUCGGCCACACUGGAACUGAGACACGGUCCAGACUCCUACGGGAGGCAGCAGUAGGGAAUCUUCCGCAAUGGGCGAAAGCCUGACGGAGCAACGCCGCGUGAGUGAUGAAGGUCUUCGGAUCGUAAAACUCUGUUAUUAGGGAAGAACAUAUGUGUAAGUAACUGUGCACAUCUUGACGGUACCUAAUCAGAAAGCCACGGCUAACUACGUG